rnacentral:pre_miRNA from 1 species
UUUCGCGCGCGCCCGACGUGCAAAACCUGAACAAAUUAACGGGUUGUUUUGUUCGUUCGGCUCGCGUCAAA